rnacentral:rRNA from 1 species
CGUUUUUUGAUUGUCAAUGAAAAAUAGAGCCUGCCCACUGAAUUAUUUUGAAUGGCCGCGGUAUUUUGACCGUGCGAAGGUAGCAUAAUCAUUAGUCUAUUAAUUGUAGACUGGUAUGAAUGGCUGGAUGAAUAACGACUGUUUUUAACCUAAGAUAUGAAUUUUAGGUUUUUGUGAAGACGCUAAAAUAAGGCUAAAAGACGAGAAGACCCUAUUAAGCUUUACAUAAGUUGUCUAAUCUUUUAGGUCACUAAUGUUAUGUUGGGGCGACAGGAAAAUAGAGAAGCUUUUUCUUAUGUUUAAUGUAUAUAGGUAGAAAAGUAAAAUGAUCCAUAAUUUAUGAUUGUAAGAACAAGUUACUAUAGGGAUAACAGCGUAAUUUUAUUGGAGAGUUCUUAUUGAUAAUAAAGAUUGCGACCUCGAUGUUGAAUUAGGAUACCUUUUGGGUGCAGAAGUUUAAGAAGGUAGUCUGUUCGACUAUUAAAUUCCUACA